CCUACGGGCGGCAGCAGUGGGGAAUAUUGGACAAUGGGGGCAACCCUGAUCCAGCCAUGCCGCGUGUGUGAAGAAGGCCCUCGGGUUGUAAAGCACUUUCAGUGAGGAAGAACGCCUGGUGGUUAAUACCCAUCAGGAAAGACAUCACUCACAGAAGAAGCACCGGCUAACUCCGUGCCAGCAGCCGCGGUAAUACGGAGGGUGCGAGCGUUAAUCGGAAUUACUGGGCGUAAAGCGCGCGUAGGUGGCUUGAUAAGCCGGUUGUGAAAGCCCCGGGCUCAACCUGGGAACGGCAUCCGGAACUGUCAAGCUAGAGUGCAGGAGAGGAAGGUAGAAUUCCCGGUGUAGCGGUGAAAUGCGUAGAGAUCGGGAGGAAUACCAGUGACGAAGGCGGCCUUCUGGACUGACACUGACACUGAGGUGCGAAAGCGUGGGUAGCAAACAGGAUUAGAUACCCCAGUAGUC
rnacentral:rRNA from 1 species